GUGAGAUUUGAACCGUGAAAGUACUGAAGCUUUAGAAGCUGAACUCACCUGUUCGACUUAGACUCUUAGACUCUUAGACUCUUCACUUUCGCAAACGCAGCUUUACAGACAAGUCAAAGAACAGUCUUCUAAAUUGAACUCCACGCCAGAGGAGAUGACAAGCCUCAAGAUCCUCAUCAGGCCAGCAGCCUGCCAGCUGCUGCAGAUGACAGCUCCAACCUCAGACUAAGGACGCUGUUUGUGUUCAGAUGAAGGAGAUCAGGAGGUGUGGAGGAAACACACCAGGUUGAGAUAAUGGAGAUCAAAGAUGGAGCUCCAGGAGACUGCACUUUGGAUGUCAGAGAUGAGCAUGUAGAGAGGUGAGUAUCACACACACACACACACACAAAUUAACAUUUUUAAAUCUUUAUUUGGGAGCAUGUGUGUGUGGAAUGUCAGAGGGAGCAGUACCAUGACAGGAAGUUAAUAGUAUGUAGGUCUACAGGGGGUUAAAACCAUUUCCUGUUUACCCCUCCCCAACAAAAAUGUUAGUGCAAUGCAAUCCAUCUCACUCUCUUCUCUCACUCACUCUCUCUCACUCUCUCACUCACAGUAUUCACACACAGUGGAUGUCUCGUGCUGCUUUAACUGGUCUUUCCACCGCGUUAGAACGACCCUCAUGUCAAAGAGAUCCUUGUUGUGUUGCUACUCCGUGUCUUUGCUGCUGUACACCUGCAUUUACUGCUGGGUCUAUUCUAUCGUCUAAUUGGCUGCGCAUGACUUAUUCUGCUUUCAUUUCAUUGUUUUCAUGUUUCCUCCUCUGUAUUUAAGCUUUUGUCCUUCAUUGCGUUAUUCUCAUGUUUUCACGUCUCAUCAUAAGGACAAUAUCACUUCCAUCCCUCUGAUUUACAUCAGCUAAUGACGGCUUAUCUGCGGUUUUGAGAUUAAUAUGAAUAUUUCUUUGUGAGUUUUGUAUGAUGUGCAUGCGGUUAGUCAUCCCUGCGGCCCAUGGUGCAGUGCUGCAUCUCUGGUCAGUUGGUAGUCUGAGAUGAAGCACUGUAGCUCGGGACGGAGGACAGAAAUACCAGUGUGAACGUACCCACAGCUCCCAGUGUCCGGCAGCAGGUCCCCAGUGAUGUGAGACAGGAAGACACUCUGAGAAGUGAUUUCUGUUCACAUGUUAUUUAGAGCACAUAGACACAGAUCUGAGUUCUAGAAAUCAUUGAAAAUACAUUUUUAUUAUAUAUCAUAUUUUAUUGUAGUAUUUUUAGAAUCAUCCUGUGAAUGACUUGUAAUGAUGCUUAAUGUUUCAUUCAUUUCUAAAACCAAACUAUCAAAUUCAGCAUUAACUAGUGAUGGAAUCAGAGCAGCCCUGAUAACAGGGGCAAGACUUGGACCUUUGGAGGUGAUGAGACUUCUAGUAUAAAGUACAGAUGAACUAUCCCAGAUCUACAGCUGCUCUUUCACAUCACGGCCCCUGAGAUCUGCUUCAAAGCCCAGCCCUCUACAGUGGGCAGACAGUGGCCCCUUCCGCAAAUCCAACCCCCUACUUCCAGCGCCAUUAUUGGACCACGUCCAUCUUUGAUAAACAUAAUUAAACACAUGUAAUAAAUCUUGUGACCCUUGUGCGCCAAACAUACUUAGUUUUUAACAAGGCUACUUCAGGAGAGGGAAAGCAAAAUACAGACAUUUGAUUUUCUAAUAUGGAUCUACAUUUGUGUGGUUCUGAUGAUGGAUGAUCACACAAGAAGAAGAAGGUCAUUGAUCUCCUCUCUCCUGGGGUCCAGUUUUCCCAGGAAUCCCUUGACCUAUCAGAAAGGGGGAUUCCUGGAAAUACUGUUCUUGGGGGCGGGGCUUAUCAGCUAUUACAUGUUCAGUAUGUUUUCAUAAUGAUGUGGGUUGUAUGUAAUACUGUUACGUUCAUAAUUCAUAUUACUGGGUACAUGUGAUCUGACUUGAAUCAAUCCCUCACUCCUCUUUUUACUUCUCAUUUUGAAAUAAACAUUGAUAACAAAUAAAUAUGUGUUUGUAUUGUCAUGUAUUGGACAUGAAUACUGUUUAUCUUGAAUAUCGUGGGAUUAGAGAGGGAUAAAUGAUGUUAGGAAAAAAAAUCUCAGAUCCUUUACUGACCACCAGUGUUACUGUAAUUCCACUACUUUUAGCGGUAACGAGCAUGUAACGAAGUAUUUUUGAACUCAACUAACGCAGUUACAAUUACUGAAAUGUAAAUGAGUUCGUUACUCGCGUUACUCUCUUUUGUGAAAAAUUAACACUUGCAGACAAGAAGACAAGCUAGGCCGACUUUAGCUGCUUCUGAUCUGACAUCGCAGGACCUUGGUGGCGCAAUGAUAUUGUAACGUCUCGGACGUUAUGGCACUGAUGACACGGAAACGGGACGACGUUAUUAAUCCUCACUUUAUUGGGCAUUCACCAACACAGUGUGUUUACAUGAUGCGGAUUUACAUGUUACAGACAGCGUGUUCCUCUCAGCUCAGCAGCUCGAACGUCAACAACAACGGUUCCCGUCAACCAACCUUAACUCACGUUUUCCGGCAGGUUAACCCCGCCUCCCCUCUACUCUGCCAAUCAUAGGCACGCCCCCUCGACCAGCAUGUACAGUGCCACACUGUGAUUGACAGCCACUUCACAGGGUCGCUACAAUAAACACCAAUCGAAUCAAUCAAUGAGCAUUAAACCACAUCAUGGCCGACAGCGCAGAUAGAAUGAGCUUUCUCUCCUGGAAGUAUGGACAUUACUUUUCGCUCGUCGAAAUUAAAGACAAAAAUGUAGUGGUGAGUUGUAAAUUAUGUGCAGGUGCAAAGACCCUAUCCACAUCUAAGAGACAGUUAUUUUGUAUAAAGUUAAGUAUUAAAAGGGACUUUUGUACUACUGCUUGAUUUGAAGGCCUGUUGCCCUGUUGAUUGCAAUAAAUAGGUCUACAAAAUAUGUUUAUUGUGUUUGACUGUUCAGUACUGUUCAUUACAUUAAAAAAGCAGACAAAAGUAACUUAAGUUACUUUCCCUCGUAACUAAUUACUUUUGAUAUACA